rnacentral:rRNA from 1 species
GACGUAGGGGGCAAGCGUUGUCCGGAAUCAUUGGGCGUAAAGCGCGUGUAGGCGGCCCGAUAAGUCCGCUGUGAAAGUCCAGGGCUCAACCCUGGAAUGCCGGUGGAUACUGUCGGGCUCGAGUCCGGAAGAGGCGAGUGGAAUUCCUGGUGUAGCGGUGAAAUGCGCAGAUAUCAGGAGGAACACCUAUUGCGAAGGCAGCUCGCUGGGACGUUACUGACGCUGAGACGCGAAAGCGUGGGGAGCAAACAGG